rnacentral:rRNA from 1 species
AGGGAUCAUUACCGAGUUUACAACUCCCAAACCCCAUGUGAACAUACCUGUUUCGUUCCCUCGGCGGUGUCCGGCAACGGCCCGCCAGAGGACCCAACAAACUCUUUUGAAUUUUUCAGUAUCUUCUGAGUAAAAAAAACAAUAAAUCAAAACUUUCAACAACGGAUCUCUUGGUUCUGGCAUCGAUGAAGAACGCAGCGAAAUGCGAUAAGUAAUGUGAAUUGCAGAAUUCAGUGAAUCAUCGAAUCUUUGAACGCACAUUGCGCCCGCCAGUAUUCUGGCGGGCAUGCCUGUUCGAGCGUCAUUUCAACCCUCAAGCACCUUCGGGAGCUUGGUGUUGGGGAUCGGCAGGGCGUCCUCCGGGUCGCGCCGUCCCCCAAAUCUAGUGGCGGUCUCGCUGUAGCUUCCUCUGCGUAGUAAUACACCUCGCUCUGGAGUCUCGGUGCGGCCACGCCGUAAAACCCCCAACUUUUUUCUGGUUGACCUCGAAUCAGGUAGGACUACCCGCUGAACUUAA